rnacentral:rRNA from 1 species
UACGAAGGGGGCUAGCGUUGUUCGGAAUUACUGGGCGUAAAGGGCGCGUAGGCUGUGCUGUAAGUCAGGCGUGAAAUCCCCGGGCUCAACCGGGGAACUGCGUCUGAUACUGGAUGGCUUGAGUUCGGGAGAGGGAUGCGGAAUUCCAGGUGUAGCGGUGAAAUGCGUAGAUAUCUGGAGGAACACCGGUGGCGAAGGCGGCAUCCUGGACCGACACUGACACUGAGGAGCGAAAGCCAGGGGAGCAAACGGG